UAAAGCAAGGAGGACUUUGAGACCCUUUCUCUAUGGCUCCAAAAUUGUAAAUAAAAGAAAUUAUAUGUAGAAAUUGGGUGUUUGAAAUUUUUGACAGGGAGAUUUGUGGUCUAUAAUUAAUAUAUGAUGGUUAGAGACUUGAAUGAACAGUGAUUAAUGUGAUGAUUCAUCAUCACAAUUGUUUUAAUCAUGCCACGUUAUCACUUAGCCUCUCUAAUUUUCCCCCUCAUCUCCUCAUCUUAUGAACAAUCUGAUGAAUUCAUCACUCAAUUUCAAUCAACUUUCACUCAACUUCUCUUAAUAUCUCUAUCAUCAGUACCACACCAGACACCACGACCAGCUCCUCUUUUAAUCGCCAUCGUCAUUGUCACCAUGCUUCGACGUCGUUAUCCCACAGUCACCAGUAGCCGCUUUUAGCCUCAUCAGAACCGUCUCCUCCUCGUACCAUCUCUACCGCGACAGAUUUUGGUGAUAGCAGUCAUCACUCAGAUGGACCUUCGGCCGCAUUGACUCCUUAGCUGAUUUCACCGGUACCAGUGCCGUUAUUUGGUUUUUUCGGUUCUGUCCGGGUACCAGUGCCGAUAUUUGGCAGAUUUUGGGGCGAUACACAAUUUCUUGAUACACCAGAGGUUCUUUGAAGUUGUUUGAUGCAGCAUCCACGUUCCAAAGGACCCCGCAUUGUGUCGUCUUCAACGGAUGUUGCGUCUUCUUCUGAUUCGUCUUUUGAUGCUUCAUCGACCUCGCGUCGGCAAACAUCUCAUCGAAGCGCGAUGCUGCGUUCUAGGGCUGCAAUGGCAGCUGUUGAUUCCGUUGGUUUCGCAGCUCCUGCUUUACAGUCCCCAGAUUACAUUGACAUGGGGUUGUGUACAGAAGUGUGUGAGUAUUGUGGAGCUCUUUUUUGGUUCCAGGAAUGACUAACAUCGUUUCCAAUAAGUGUUCGUCCACGUUAUAAUCGUUGUUGUCGAGGUGGCAGAAUAAAAUUGCAAUACCCAUCUGAACCGCCAGAUUUAUUGAAAUCUUUGUUUUCGGAUACUCAAUUUAUGUUAAACAUUCGUGCAUACAACGCUAUGUUUUGCAUGACAUCGUUUGGUGCUGUUGUCGAUGAUGCAAUAAACCAGGGUGGUGGCCCCUACGUGUUCAAGGUUGCCGGCCAGGUUUCACACUGGUUGGGUUCUCUGUGCCCUUCUUCUGGUGAUGGUCCUCGCUUUUUGCAAAUGUAUGUUUACGAUAGUGUCAAAUAGGCUGCGCUUCUUUCCAACUAUCGGCUCGGAUCAUACUGCAGCAGAAACUGUUGCCGCACUUGCUCAGAUGUUAGAUCAUGUAAAACCGUAUGUACGGUUAUUUAGAUCUGCUAGGGAAUUGUGUUCUCAAGCCGACAUUCCAGAUUUUGAAAUCAGGCUUCACAAUCGUGUUCGUGACAAUCGUUAUUCUACCCCUGCUUCGCAUACUCUUGGUGCCAUAGUCUGUGACAACAGCCAAUUGUCCGCAGAUUUUGAUGUCGUCAUCAAAAGUAAAGAUAACACUCC